rnacentral:rRNA from 1 species
CUACGGGGGGCAGCAGUGGGGAAUAUUGCACAGUGGGGGAAACCCUGAUGCAGCAACGCCGCGUGGAGGAUGACACAUUUCGGUGCGUAAACUCCUUUUAUAGGUCAAGAUAAUGACGGUAGCCUAUGAAUAAGCGCCGGCUAACUCCGUGCCAGCAGCCGCGGUAAUACGGAGGGCGCAAGCGUUACUCGGAAUCACUGGGCGUAAAGAGCAUGUAGGCGGGUUAAUAAGUCAGAAGUGAAAUCCAAUAGCUCAACUAUUGAACUGCUUUUGAAACUGUUAACCUAGAGUGUGGGAGAGGUAGAUGGAAUUUCUGGUGUAGGGGUAAUAUCCGUAGAGAUCAGAAGGAAUACCGAUUGCGAAGGCGAUCUACUGGAACAUUACUGACGCUGAGAUGCGAAAGCGUGGGGAGCAAACAGGAUUAGAUACCCGUGUAGUC